rnacentral:rRNA from 1 species
UUUAAAUUGAGAGUUUGAUCCUGGCUCAGGACGAACGCUGGCGGCGUGCUUAACACAUGCAAGUCGAGCGAUGAAGCUUCCUUCGGGAAGUGGAUUAGCGGCGGACGGGU